rnacentral:rRNA from 1 species
AAAAUACUGCAAAAAAUUUAAGUAAAAUUUUAAAAAAUAAAAAAGUUGAAUACUUAAAUGGAAAAAAAAGAAAUUAAAAGAAAGUUUAAAAGCCUGUUCCUUGUGUAUCAUGAUUUAAAGAAUUAAAAAAAUAUUUUUAAAUCUCGAAAGAAGAAGAUAUAAUAAUUUUUGAGUUUCCUGUUAAACAAAGAUAAAUAAAAAAUCAUUAGAAGUUAAAAACUUUCAAUUCUUCUUAUAUCUAGUUUUUUAGAAAAGAAUUCAAUUCAAUUAAAUAAAGCCAAAAUGUUUUAAAAAAAAAAUUAAGGGAUUAACUUUAAUUUUAAAUUAAAUUUUUUAAAAAAUAAAAAAAAAAGGAAUUAAAUUAACCAAAAAUAUAAAAAUUUUUACUUAUUGAAAAGAAUUAAAUAAUUUUUUAUUUUCUAUAAAAAAAAAAAACAAAAAAAAUGACUAAAAUUUUAAAAUUAGUAAAUUCUUAAAACUUUUAAAAGAACUCGGCAAAAAAGUUUCCGAAUGUUUAACAAGAACAUUGUUUCACGAAUUUAUCAGAAAUAUAACCUGCUCAGUGAAAAUUUAAACAGCCAAACCUAAAGUAGCAUAAUAAUUUGUCUUUUAAUUAAAGGCUAGAAUGAAAGGUAAAACGAGAGACUAUCUUUCUUUAUUUUAGAAAUUUAAAUUAACUUUUAAGUUAAAAGGCUUAAAUAAAUUUAAAAGACGAUAAGACCCUGUAGAACUUAAUAAAAUAAAAAAUAAUAAAAAGAAAAAAUUUUACUGGGGAAGUAAAAAAAUAAAAAUUUUUUUUUAAUUUAACUAAUUAGAUUGAACGGACCUUUUAAGAAAAUAAAAAGUUACCUCAGGGAUAACAGAGUAAAAAUUUUUUAGAGACCAAAUCAAUAAAAUUGUAUACUACCUCGAUGUUGAAUUAAGAGAUAACUUAAUAGAAGAAAAUUAAGAAAUUUGGUCUGUUCGACCCUUAAACUCUUACAUGAUUUGAGUUAAGACCGGUGUAAGCCAGGUUGGUUUCUAUCUUUAAAUUCAAAGAUUUUAUAGUACGAAAGGACCUAAAAACUUAAUUUUAUU